rnacentral:lncRNA from 1 species
CUGUGAGCCUCUGCCCUGGGCAGCUUUCACUAUGCAGAGAAAAUUUCUUUUCUGCCUCUCAUAAACCUAUACUUUAACUGCCUUUUCUGCAUGUCUUGUCCAAUUCUUUGUUCAAGACAUCAACAACCUGGAAAGAAACCUUGUAGGACCAGUUGCAGAGCCAGAAAAAGUGCCCACGGGAAUGCAGACACUGUCACUGCUUUGGAGGCUGGAUAUGCAGCCUAAGGAAAUUAGUGCUUAACAAGAGCCGGGCUCUGCUGGCUUUGCAACUCUUGCCUGGAGGCUGUGGCUGCACCAGGGGCCAAAGCAGUCAGAGAGGCGGGCCUGGCAGAGGCUGUGGUCACCUCUAAGAUUGCUGAGCCUCAGAAGUCCUCAAGGCACACACAGUCAGUAAUAGUCUAGGCUCUAAGAGCCAGAGGAAAGGGGGGGUGUUUGCAUUUUCCUCAUCUCCACAGCUGCCUCCAGCUGAAGGCCCCUGGCUUGGAGCUCCUGCCUCUACACUGACUUCUGCCCUGAGAAGAGGCUGGUGCCAUAGAGGGGAGUCGGAGGGGCCUUGUCCUGCUGUGAAGAAAGUUCCAGAGUCCUGGCCUGUACUCCCUGGUUGCUGGAAGAAGAUAACUCUUGGGAAGUUUAGAAAUCGUCUCCCAGACAUGUAACAAGGAGUUGCUGAGCUGGUGGUGCUGAGUCUUCUUUGCCAUGGAUUUCACCUUCAGAAGCUGUAACCUCCAUAGAUUUCAAGGGUAUGAAAGGUCCUGAGACUACACUGUUGGAACGACUGCAUCACACCACUCUGCGCUCCCAGAGGUAGACAGGAGGGAGAAGCAUCUUUCCACUUUAUCCACGUUACCCAUUGUUGUUACUGAUUUAUUUUUAAAUCCAACUUGGCUUCUCCCCUGAAAACUGUUGAGAAGUAAAGAAAACUGACCAUAGCUUCCUGAAGUCAAAGCACCUAAAACAAAGAGAAGGCCAUGGAAGUGAGUAAGGGGCUUCUCCAAGACUGCAAGGUCACCCAAGGUCCCUACCGUCCAUGCUGCUGAGAAGCUGCCAGUUUCUUCUUUGCUUGGUUGGUCUCACAACCAACCACCCACUCCCACCCACUAUACCUCAACACCCAACCUGGAGAGGUGUUGUUCUCUGGGUCCUGAAAACACUAAGGGAAGCUGGGAGUAGGGGGCACAUGCCUGUAAUCCCACCACUUGGGAGGCUGAGGCAGGAAGAUGGUGAGUUCCAGGCCUGGAUUGCAUAGAAAGACUAUGUCUCAAAACACACACACACACACACACAUGGGGACUCACUACGGCUUUGGACUGACCCACCCCCGACCUCUCUGGGAUGAUGGCGCAGGGAAGAGCACCCUCAGUCUGUGGUACACUAGCCCCUGUUCUUGGGUUGGGGCUCAGAUGAAAAGCGAAGGUCACUUUUCUAGGCCUGAAGAGGAAAUGUAAAUCUCUCCCAGCCCACGUGGCAGAAGCUGCCAGAAGGCCAUUGCCCUGUUAGUAAACAGGGCUGCCUGGGCCAUCUUUCUCUUUUGUAAUAACCUGCAGGGCACCUAUUGAUUGCACGUGCUGGUCCCUCAUAAGUGAGGACAGGGCUGUCUUCCGGUUGCUCUGGAGCUGUGAGGGUGCCUAAAUUGGCUGACUAAUACUGCAUGCUCAUGGAGCACAGUGUCCUGUGCCACCUAAACAUGAAGAAUAUGUAUCAUCAGGCGCCGUGAGAGUGCAGGCCCCAACUCCAGCGGCUUCAAGGCUUCCGGGCGUGCUGCAGACUGCAAUUAGGCAGUUUGCUUGCCUCCUCCCGAGAGGAAAGAACACUGAUGUGGCUCCUGCUGCAGCCUGAGCUACUUUAAGAUGGAGGGAGCGGCAGGUCUUGGAGGGUGGGCAAUGGGCCAGCUCCUCACCUCAGCUACCCCCUCAGCAGGAAUGGCAGCCAGCAAAUAGAAACCAACCCACAUCUUUUAGCCUGUGGUGGACAGAGUUAUGACUCAAAAGACACGUUCAAAACCCCCACUUCGGCCACUUUUGGCUGUGUGAUAUUAGUGGCUUAACCUCUCUGAGCCUCAGCAUCUCAUCUGGAAAGUUGAGAAAAUAAUAUUUCCUUAAUUGUUCAUGUGGUUAGGCCUGCCUGGAACCCAGUAUCCUCUCAUAAAUACCGGCACUGAGUCAAAAGCAGCUGAACACAGCAGUAGGUACCGGACUGAAACUACUUUUCCUUUCCACCCCUGAAAUCUGGCACCAGGAACUUUUCAGUGCUAUUGCCAGGCAAUGCCUUGCUAUCUAAGAAGUGAGGCCAGGAAACUCCUGGCUUGAUAAAUUGGAAUUAUCUCUCCCAUCCCUUUCAUCUUUCUGUGCCCCUCCUGACCUAGCUUCUGAAUUUAACAUUGAUUCCACAGGGAAUGUCACUAAAAUGUAUCGUGAACACAGAGAAGCAUGGCACCAUAGCUUACCCUUCUAAAAGAAAACCUUGGCACCCGCAGGCCCACCCUGGGCAGAGCCUUCAGAGCGUCUCUAACUCUGGCCCUGGACAAUGGGCUCUAUGAGUAGCACUGUCCUUGCAGCUCACUUGUGGCUCCUUUGUUGAUGUUGCCACAAUCAAAGCCGAUGAAAGGACGGUGUGAAGAGCCAUAUUUCCAUAUUUUCCUCCUGGUCCUGGAAAUGACAUCUACUGCCUUGGGACGGAGGGUACAGUGGGUGAAUGGUGCCCCCCAAAUAUAUGAUCACACGGGGACCCUGUGAGUGUGAUCUUCUUUGGGCAAAGGGUCUUUACAGAUGUGAUUAAAUCAGCAUCUUGAGCUGCCAUUGUUCUAAAUUACCUGGGGUGGGCAGGCGGCGUAAAUGGAGUGACAAGGGUCCCUUGAGACAGAAGAGGGACUGGCACAGAGAGAAGCUCAGGAGAAGAUGAUGGAGAUGCAGCCUGGAGUGAAGCAGCCCCAGUCAAGGCUUCCUGGGCCAUCAGGAGCGGGGGGGGGGGGGGCAGAGGAAGACUGUCUGGAGAGCCUUUGGAAGGAGGGAGUGUGGCCCUGCUGACACCUGGGUUUGGGACUCUGGCUUCUACAAUUGGGAGAGGAUGAAUUUCUAUUACUUUAGGCUACUGCUGAGGCUUAGAUACGGUUUUUCUCCAAAAGCUCAUGUGCCCGAGACUUGGUCCCUGAUGUCCUGGUAUUGAGGUGUUGAUGACUUUCAGAAGGGUGAUUAGCCAGGGGCAGCACCCUCAGAAAGACCGGCUUGGUUACCCUCAUAGGGGAUUGAUAAAAACGAAUGUGGCUUUCUUUUUUGUUGUUGUUUUUUUGAGACAGGAACUCACUAUGUAGUUCAGGCUGGUCUAGACUCACUAUGUAGCCCAUGCUGGCUUCAAACUCAUGGCAAUCCUCCUGCCUCAGCCUCCUGAGUGCUGGCAUUACGGGGAUGCACCACUAUGCCUGGCUUCUUCUCUCAGCAUAUGACCUCUCCUGCCUGUGCUGCUGCCCUGUGAUGCCAUCUGCCCAGAAGCUGAGGCUACACAAUGCCACACACUUGGACCUCCAGAACUGUAAGCUAAAUAAACCUCCUUAUUUUCUUUAUGAAGGAAGGUAUCUUAUGAUACGAACAAGGUAUCUUGUUAUAGCAACACACAGUGGACUGAGAGCCACCAAGCUUGUGGUCGUCUGUGAUGGCGGCUCUACUCCAGCAUGCUCCUGGGGUGGGACACAGCUCAAGGUCAUCUUCCACGGGUGAUGUUUUCCCUGUCUGUGGCAGGACUUACCUGAACAACAGCCUCAGCUGGCCUGGCCUGCAAUCCAGGAGCCGCAGACAACCAGAUAGGAGUGUGGCUGAGGAUCUGCCUGGGACAGAGCCUUCUGAAAUGCUGGAAACAGGCUCCAUCUUAGAACUAGACAGACUGAUGUUGAAAUCCCAACACUGACUGACUCUGAGGCCUCUCUGCCUUUCAAGUCCCUCAUCAAUAAAGCGAGGAAAUAAUGUUUACCUUGUAGGCAAGAGCAGGUCCAGCAUCCAAAGCUUACAGAAUUUGGGUGACACUUUAAAAGAGAAAGAAUACAACGAUUUAAAUCCAAAGUUAGGGAAGGAGUCUUGGGAGGCCCUGUAUAAGUUCGGGCCCCUGAGGUGUAAGUCAGGCCCACUCUGUUCAUUGGUGCUCAGAGAAUCACAGGUGAAAACAGGGAGCACAAGGCAGAGCCUGGAUCCUGCUGAGAGCUCUGUAAGAGACAAAAGUUGUCAGCUGGGCGUGGUGGUGCACGCCUGUAAUUCCAGCGCUUGGGCGGCUGAGGCAGGAGGAUCACUUCAAGUGAGUUCUCUGUCUCCAAAAAAAAAAGAAAAGAAAAGAAAAAGAAAGUAUGGAGAUAUGUGUGGAACACAGAAGAAACUCUGAAGGAUACAUUCCAUAGAGACUGCAGUUGUUGCUCUCUUGUCUCUUUUCCCUUCCUUUUGGUAACAGGAAACUGACUUCUAGGACGAUGGCUGUGUGCUCAGCUAAAGCCACCUGUCCCAGCUUCUCUCACAGCUGGGUGUAGCCAUGAGACUAAAUUUUGGCCAAGGAAGUAUAAACAAAGCGUGAUGGCUGAAAUCCAGCUUCCCCAGAGUUCACAGAGGAAGCGCUCACCUCGUGCUCAGAGUGUGGCCCUAACGGAAAGAGGGUCCCUGAGGACAUUAACCGAGGGGAUGGGGGACUCACAUCCCACAUGAAUAAUGGCCUAAUGAAAAGGGGAAAUUAAGACGCGCACGCGCACGGAGAGCGCUGCGUGAAGAUGGGGCAGAGACCAGCAGCUACUUCUACAAAUCCAGGGACCUCAAAGGCUGUCGCAGAAGUCAGGAGAGGCAGCAGUGCUCAGAAGGCACCAAUCCUGGGUUGCCAGCCUCCAGACUGAGAGAAGGGCGACAGUUUCUGUCAUACGGAGACCGGUAUCGCAAAUGGCAGACAGAGUGCAAGGAGGAACCCGGGACCCCAAAAACCUCAGGGAGCUGUCACAUUACUCUUGCACUGCCUACCCCGGGGCUUAUUUUCUAGAAAAAUAAACUUAAGCUUUUGUUAUUGUUUUAUUUGGUUUUUGAAAUAUACGAUUUUGAUAAAUUACUCUUUGAGGGGAGGGCUUGGAAUUGAAAUAUCAGUGAAGAAUUUUUGCUUUACCUGUAACGUUUCAAUUCUGAUUUCAAGGAUAUAUUUAGGUAUUCUUUUGUAACUAAAAUAAAAUUAUUUCAUAAAUUACAUGAGAAAAAAGUAUGAGAACAAAGAUUCAAAAAGAUCUACGAAAUAUUAUCAACUGCAAUGUAUGAAUCUUAUGUGGAUCCUGGCUUACCAAAAGAAAGGGAAAUUUUUUGAGACAAGCUCUCACUGAGAGUCUAGGCUGAGGCAGGAGGAUUGCUGUGAGUUCAAGGCCAACCAGGACUACAGUCAAUUCAAGACCAGCUUGGACUACAAAGUGAGACAUUGUAAAUAAAUAAGUAAAAUAAGCCAAAAUAAAUAAAGUUAUGAAACAGAUGAGUACAUUUAACAGCCGUUACCCCCCCCC